AGAAAAAUUUACGCCAGUGAACGUUGUUUUCAUUUUAAUUAUGAAUUUAGUCUUAGUUUAAUUAAUACGGUUUUAUACCGUUUAUAUUUUAAAAUUUGGAGUGACACGUAUACCGUUCCAAAUGCUUUUCAUAUUUGAUAUGUUUUGCAUGUAUAUUACUCUUGCCCUUUUUCUUCUGUAAAAAUAGAGGACAUUUGUUGGGGUAAAGAAAGAUAAAAGGCCUCCAUCAAUAUCAAUACUCUUGCCCUUUUUCUUCUGUAAAAUUCUGAAGCUCUCUCUCUUCAAUCUUCUCUGCUACAACAUUCAAUGGCUUCCAGUCGAUGGCUCAGGCCUGAGGUUUACCCACUGUUCGCUGCCGUCGGUGUCGCCGUUGGGAUUUGUGGGUUUCAUACAACUACUAUAUAAAUAAGAACAUUACAUUUUAAUUA